rnacentral:rRNA from 1 species
GAUGAACGCUGGCGGCGUGCCUAAUACAUGCAAGUCGAACGCAUAGCGAAAGGUGCUUGCACCUUUCAAGUGAGUGGCGAACGGGUGAGUAACACGUAGACAACCUGCCUCAAGGCUGGGGAUAACAUUUGGAAACAGAUGCUAAUACCGAAUAAAACUUAGUGUCGCAUGACACAAAGUUAAAAGGCGCUUCGGCGUCACCUAGAGAUGGAUCCGCGGUGCAUUAGUUAGUUGGUGGGGUAAAGGCCUACCAAGACAAUGAUGCAUAGCCGAGUUGAGAGACUGAUCGGCCACAUUGGGACUGAGACACGGCCCAAACUCCUACGGGAGGCUGCAGUAGGGAAUCUUCCACAAUGGGCGAAAGCCUGAUGGAGCAACGCCGCGUGUGUGAUGAAGGCUUUCGGGUCGUAAAGCACUGUUGUAUGGGAAGAACAGCUAGAAUAGGAAAUGAUUUUAGUUUGACGGUACCAUACCAGAAAGGGACGGCUAAAUACGUG